rnacentral:rRNA from 1 species
AGGACGAACGCUGGCGGCGUGCUUAACACAUGCAAGUCGAGCGGAAAGGCCCUUCGGGGUACUCGAGCGGCGAACGGGUGAGUAACACGUGAGCAACCUGCCCUUAGCUCUGGGAUAGCUCCGGGAAACCGGAAUUAAUACCGGAUAUGACCUAGGCCGACAUCGGCCGUGGUGGAAAGUUUUUCGGCUAGGGAUGGACUCGCGGCCUAUCAGCUAGUUGGUGGGGUAAUGGCCUACCAAGGCGACGACGGGUAGCCGGCCUGAGAGGGCGACCGGCCACGACUGGGACUGAGACACGGCCCAGACUCCUACGGGAGGCAGCAGUGGGGAAUCUUGCGCAAUGGGCGAAAGCCUGACGCAGCGACGCCGCGUGGGGGAUGAAGGCCUUCGGGUUGUAAACUCCUGUCAUUUGGAACAAUGCGCAAAUAUUAACUGUAUUUGCGUUGAUAGUACCAGAAGAGGAAGGGACGGACUAACGUCUGUGCCAGCAGCCGCGGU